UACGUAGGGGGCGAGCGUUGUCCGAAGUUACUGGGCGUAAAGCGCGCGUAGGCGGGCUGUUAAGUGAGAGGUGAAAGGCUGGGGCUCAACUCCAGCAGUGCCUCUCAUACUGGCAGUCUUGAGGGCGGUAGAGAGAAGUGGAAUGGCUGGUGUAGCGGUGAAAUGCGUAGAUAUCGAGAGGAACACCUGCGGCGAAGGCGGGUAGCUGGGCCGACACUGACGCUGAGGCGCGAAAGCCAGGGGAGCGAACGGG
rnacentral:rRNA from 1 species